GAUGGAGUUUUACUCCCAAAGGAAUUUUCUCGUCUGGAUGGAGGGGAAAGAAGGGGGCGGGGAGGGCUGCUUGGCGAACGACGUUGACGCCACUAUGGGUCUUGGGACUGGGGGUUAGACUCUGAGUUGGAAGCACUCAGCACAGUCGUUCCUAACUUCGGGGUGCAUCAAAAGUGCCUAGGAGAUUGCUGAAAGUGUAAUGUUGGGGGGCCUCAUCCCCAAGGCAGUUGGGGUGGUUUGGGGAAGGAGGUGUCCUCCUACGUGUUUAACGCGCUGUCUUUCAGCUGCGACUGAUUAAGAUAAUUACCACGUAGAGAAUUAUUGGUCUAGCAUAAAGGUGCUCAAAAUAGAAUCUUAAAACAGAAUUAAAUUGCAAUCUAUGCCCUUGA